rnacentral:rRNA from 1 species
UGCCGCGUGUGUGAAAGAAGGCCUUCGGGUUGUAAAGCACUUUCAGUCGUGAGGAAGGUAGUGUAGUUAAUAGCUGCAUUAUUUGACGUUAGCGACAGAAGAAGCACCGGCUAACUCCGUGCCAGCAGCCGCGGUAAUACGGAGGGUGCGAGCGUUAAUCGGAAUUACUGGGCGUAAAGCGCAUGCAGGUGGUUUGUUAAGUCAGAUGUGAAAGCCCGGGGCUCAACCUCGGAAUUGCAUUUGAAACUGGCAGACUAGAGUACUGUAUAGGGGGGUAGAAUUUCAGGUGUAGCGGUGAAAUGCGUAGAGAUCUGAAGGAAUACCGGUGGCGAAGGCGGCCCCCUGGACAGAUACUGACACUCAGAUGCGAAAGCGUGGGGAGCAAACAGGAUUAGAUACCCUGGUAGUCCACGCCGUAAACGAUGUCCUACUUGGAGGUUGUGGCCUUGAGCCGUGGCUUUUCGGAGCUAACCCG